UCGACACAACAAGCAUACGCCUCGGUCAGAUGCCAAGAGCGCGCUGAUUCUUACGGUUCAAAAUCUAAAAAGCCGCGCAGGCCAUUGGCGGAGAAUGCUUGUGCUGAAACAAAGCAAUACAGCUUUCUUUUUCAACUUUUUCAGAAAUACCCCGCAAGGUCAGGAGUCAUUCCCUUGCUGUACACUCCAUUCACCUCUCAUCCUCCUUCAAAGUACUUGAAAAUCAUUUCCUUGAAAUAUGGACGUCUUUAAAAGUUACUGUAUUUUCGAUUUCUCUUUCGUUUUGAAAUCCGACUUGAUUCCAAAGCAUUGCGUUUUGUAUUCUUUUUACUCGGAAUCCAACAGUGAUUGGAAGACAUCGCAUCCAAUACCUCCUUAUCCAUUGGGUCUAAUAAAAAUUUCAAAUGCUUGAAUUUGACUGGACUCGGAGUAGUUAGUAUUCCGAGCUGCCUACGUACCUUCUCUUUGAGGAUCAAGUCAUACGUAGUUCUGCUCAUUCCGUGAACUCUAGCAGCAAACUUAAAUUGAUGUGAGUCAAGGCAGCCGCAAUUCCCACGAGCAAACAACCCCGGAGCAAGCGGAAUCCCGCCGGGAGAGAGGAAGUUUUUACUGCGUUCAGCUUUUGCUAAUUGCGAGUGCUCCUUGGAGGAUUCUUCACCCGUCCCCUUGAAUUAGGAGUUGAAUCUAUUUACCGAGGUAUUCUCGUGGCGCCUUUUCAAUUCUCUUUCCUAUUCCCAGUUACCGUUGUUCACCAUCGCACCGUUGAUUGUGGGGUACGUAGGGAUGGUUUAUUUAAGGCUUCAAGUUUUCUGCGUGCUGGUGUUAUAUGUGGGGUUUCGGAUUGUGUUGUUGAUCCCGGGUUCCGCACCACAAAUUCAUCAGCUUUGACUGAACUUGGAGUAGUAUGCCAAGCUGCCUACGUAACUUCUCUUUGAGGAUCCAGUCAUACGUAGCUCCCCUCCAUCCGUUUCAUUUUUUGUAAGACUUCAUGGAUAACAAAGAAUUGGAUUUCAAGAAAACUUCAAACGAAACGCAUUGCUUUCUGGCCCACGCGGAUUCCAAGAUGAAUGACGAAUUGAAGAUACGGUAUCUUCCAGAGACUUCUACAUUUCACGGGAGGAGAACCAUAAAAUUUUACUUCCCUCGUUCACUUGUGUAAUUUUCGAUUACUUCAAGAAGUCUGGGAAAUGAAACGGAGUUUACGGCAGUGUAAAUGAAGAAUCGAAGGCAACGACUCGCGAAUCUAAUGGGUAUUUUUCGAAAAAGUUGAAGAAGUUGC
rnacentral:lncRNA from 1 species